UACGUAGGUGGCAAGCGUUGUCCGGAAUUAUUGGGCGUAAAGCGCGCGCAGGCGGUCCUUUAAGUCUGAUGUGAAAGCCCACGGCUCAACCGUGGAGGGUCGUUGGAAACUGGGGGACUUGAGUGCAGAAGAGGAAAGCGGAAUUCCACGUGUAGCGGUGAAAUGCGUAGAGGUGUGGAGGAACACCAGUGGCGAAGGCGACUACCUGGCCUGUUCUUGACGCUGAGGCGCGAAAGCUAGGGGAGCAAACGGG
rnacentral:rRNA from 1 species